rnacentral:ncRNA from 2 species
GGAAGAAUGAUAUGGAUGAGCCACCUUCUGGGGACUUUGGUGGUGAUGAAGAGAAAAGCCGAAAGCGAAAGAACAAGGACCCUAAAUUUGCAGAGAUGGAGGAACGCUUCUAUCGCUAUGGGAUAAAACCCGAGUGGAUGAUGAUCCACCGAAUCCUCAACCACAGUGUGGACAAGAAGGGCCACGUCCACUACUUGAUCAAGUGGCGGGACUUACCUUACGAUCAGGCUUCUUGGGAGAGUGAGGAUGUGGAGAUCCAGGAUUACGACCUGUUCAAGCAGAGCUAUUGGAAUCACAGGUGAGUGAUUUUGGGUGAGG